UACAGGGGGUGCAAGCGUUGCUCGGAAUCACUGGGCGUAAAGCGUGCGCAGGCGGAACGUUAAGUCGGGUGUGAAAUCCCGGGGCUCAACCCCGGAACUGCAUUCGAAACUGGCGAUCUUGAGUGCGGCAGAGGUGAGUGGAAUUCCUGGUGUAGAGGUGAAAUUCGUAGAUAUCAGGAGGAACACCGGUGGCGAAAGCGGCUCACUGGGCCGACACUGACGCUCAUGCACGAAAGCGUGGGGAGCAAACAGG
rnacentral:rRNA from 1 species